AUUUUUGAGUUUUAAAUCCAUUUCCACCAGGUUUCUUUAAGAUCUCAUAGACCAAAAUGUUGGCACGAAUAAUUUCUACCUACUUGUUAUGCGCGGCAGUCUACAGUUUGAAUAUGCUGGAAUACUAUAGAACUGGCAAAUCUAAUCGACCGCGAGGCCCUGACGAUGACAUGUUCUACGUAAAACCGAAGUGAACCAAUAAAUCGCACCAGUAACAGCUUAUAAAGAAAAUAUUGUUUUAAUGAGGGAUGAUACUAUUUGGUUAUGGUUCGUUUACGACUGCUUCUCCUUCCGUCUGGCCUGCAGCACACCACGCAGCAUGUUGAAGGAACUCAGUACAGGCACCAUGAUGGGCAAGAAGAGUGGAAUGUAGAUGGCGUACUUCUGCUCGUCCGGGAAGUACAACUGCGCCAGCAGGCUGGCGUCAAAGAAUCCGCGCUCCGAGGCCACGAACGCACGCUUGGCCAGCACCGAAGCGUCCGCCAGUCGGUGCUCCAAAAGAGCAGCCUUGGCAGCCAAGAUGUCGGCAUAGGAAUUUGUAAUGGCGGCACCCACCUCGUCGUCUAUCACAAUGUAGCUGAUUUGAUCUAAACGAGAGGAGGAAGCGAUUAUUAAAUAAUAUUGUCCAAUUAAGGUGGUUAUUAAACUUCUCAAGCAGUACAGAUUCAAUAAAAAUAGCGUCAACCAUUUU
ensembl:ncRNA asRNA:CR44267 antisense RNA:CR44267